GAUAAGACCUCUGAUUUUGGUAGUCGUCUCCAUCUUACGAGGCAGCAUUGGAUUUCAUUACUUUUUCUAAUACUGCCUGGUAAUGAUGAUGAUUGCUGCCUACAAGCUACAGAUCAAGAU
rnacentral:pre_miRNA from 8 species